rnacentral:rRNA from 1 species
CCUACGGGAGGCUGCAGUGGGGAAUAUUGCACAAUGGGGGAAACCCUGAUGCAGCAACGCCGCGUGGGUGAAGGAGCGUUUCGGCGCGUAAAGCCCUGUCAGCGGGGAAGAAGAAAGACGGUACCCGACCAAGAAGCCCCGGCUAACUACGUGCCAGCAGCCGCGGGAAUACGUAGGGGGCGAGCGUUAUCCGGAAUUACUGGGUGUAAAGGGAGCGUAGACGGCGAGUUAAGCCUGAAGUGGAAGCCCGCGGCCCAACCGCGGAACUGCUUUGGACACUGUGCGGCUGGAGUGCAGGAGGGGUAAGCGGAAUUCCUAGUGUAGCGGUGAAAUGCGUAGAUAUUAGGAGGAACACCGGUGGCGAAGGCGACUUACUGGACUGUAACUGACGUUGAGGCUCGAAAGCGUGGGGAGCAAACAGGAUUAGAUACCCGGGUAGUC